GUCCCAGAAACUCAACUCAGAGUAAUAUUUUGAAAAAAUAUAAGCUGCAGGUUCAAAUCCUGUCUAGGACA
rnacentral:tRNA from 1 species